rnacentral:lncRNA from 10 species
CACAUACACAGCACACAUACAUACACACACAUGCACCAUGCACACACAUAUACACACAGACUACACACACCACACACAGAGGCACCAUGCAUGUACACACACCACAAACACACAUAUGUGCACCAUGCACAUACAUAUACACACACCACACACAAAGGCACCAUGUACAUACACACCACAAACAUACAUACACACACACACCAUACACAUACACACAACACACACAUACCACAAACACACAACAUGCACACAAC